ACUCUUUUCCCCCCUUGUUUUCUCUUCAGGUACAGCAUCUCUUAUAUUCCAUUUGCCAGGGACGCCGUGAUGAAGGUCUUUACCAGCUGUCUGAGUUAAGAGAACAGACGUGGGUUCAAACACUAUUUGAAAUCGGUUUAGCUGGGGCUUGAUUGAGCAUGCCUGGCGUGAUGGAACCAAUAGAAAAUUGCGGAACUGCAAAACCCCACCCACCUAACACUCCAGGAAAGCUAGAGCAAUUUGUCUAGGUAUUUGAAAGAUUUCGAAUUGUAUUUAAACCCAGGUCUAAUGUUUCCAGACUGUCCACUUUUUCAUGUGAAGACUAGUAAUGCAGAGUGGAUAUAUGUAAAAUAUUGUUUUUGGAAUUGUGUUUUUCCUUUUUAUUUUCUAAUAUAUAUUUUCAUUGCUGUUUCGUACUAUGAAUCAUUAAUAUUUCCAAUAAUUGUGUAACAGUUAUCUGAAACUAACGUGUAUUCAUAUUAUGCUCACCAGGGUUUGGGGUCAAUUCCAUUUUAAAUGUCUUUAAUUCAGGAAGUUGACUAAAACUUCUAAUUCUAUUGUUCUCAUUGAGAAGCAUUGACGAGAUUUCAGUUUACUUCCUGAAUUGACUUGAGUUGAAAUGGAAUUGACCCUGCUUGAUGCUUGUCUGCAAAAUCUCAUAUUUUUACACUCAAAUUCUGUCUGUCGUUUUUUAAGUGCUUCCGGUGAAAGUGAGAGGUGAAAUUAAAAUAUUAUCCAUGAAGACGGGGUCGGGGUCAAUUAGAUUUAAAGGCAGUCCACUCCAGAAGUGAUUUAAAUUUCAAAU